rnacentral:rRNA from 1 species
UGGUGGAGUGAUUUGUCUGGUUAAUUCCGUUAACGAACGAGACCCUGCCUGCUAAAUAGUCUGAUGAGUGAUCUACACUGAUUAUGGCUUCUUAGAGGGACGUGCAUUCGACUAGUUGCAGGAAGAUAGGGGCAAUAACA